UACGACUACAUAUCAGGCAUAUCAAUAAGCGGAGGAAAAGAAACUAACUAGGAUUCCCUUAGUAACGGCGAGUGAAGCGGGAAGAGCUCAAAUUUGAAAUCUUCAAGGUUCUACCUUGACGAAUUGUAGUUUAUAGAAGUGUUUUCUGUUGGAGUUUUGGUAAAAGUUCUUUGGAAUAGGACAUCAUAGAGGGUGAGAAUCCCGUAUUUGACCAUUUCUUCCAGCUGUGUGAUACACUUUCAAAGAGUCGGAUUGUUUGGGAAUGCAGUCCAAAAUGGGUGGUAAAUUUCAUCUAAAGCUAAAUAUUGGCGAGAGACCGAUAGCGAACAAGUACCGUGAGGGAAAGAUGAAAAGAACUUUGAAAAGAGAGUUAAACAGUACGUGAAAUUGUCAAAAGGGAAGCGUUUGACACCAGUGUUGUUUUCUCGAAAAUCAAUUAAAAAUGGCCGGAUUUUGUGUUGUAUUGACUUUAUCAGCUUUCUGCACUUUUUUCUUGUCUUUUUUAAUGCACUUUUCGUUUAACAAGUCAACAUCAAUUUCUUUUGUUGUAAAAGAGUCAUUGGAAGGUGGCUUUCAUUUCGGUGAAAGUGUUUAUAGCCUUUGACUUCUGCAAUCGGAGAGAUUGAGGUCUGCAGCGUAGAUCCUUCGGGGUUAGAUACAUUUGUGCUAAGUUAUAGUUUUUCAUAGACAACAUGUUGACUAUGAUUAAUCAUGUAGCUUACUCGCUUAUGCUAUUUUACCUACGCUUAGGAUGUUGAUCUCUCACAGUCGAGC
rnacentral:rRNA from 1 species